GAUGAACGCUGGCGGCGUGCCUAAUACAUGCAAGUCGAGCGAACAGACGAGGAGCUUGCUCCUCUGACGUUAGCGGCGGACGGGUGAGUAACACGUGGAUAACCUACCUAUAAGACUGGGAUAACUUCGGGAAACCGGAGCUAAUACCGGAUAAUAUAUUGAACCGCAUGGUUCAAUAGUGAAAGACGGUUUUGCUGUCACUUAUAGAUGGAUCCGCGCCGCAUUAGCUAGUUGGUAAGGUAACGGCUUACCAAGGCAACGAUGCGUAGCCGACCUGGGAGGGGGAUCGGCCACACUGGAACUGAGACACGGUCCAGACUCCUACGGGAGGCAGCAGUAGGGAAUCUUCCGCGAUGGGCGAAAGCCUGACGGAGCAACGCCGCGUGAGUGAUGAAGGUCUUCGGAUCGUAAAACUCUGUUAUUAGGGAAGAACAAAUGUGUAAGUAACUAUGCACGUCUUGACGGUACCUAAUCAGAAAGCCACGGCUAACUACGUG
rnacentral:rRNA from 1 species